rnacentral:lncRNA from 1 species
UUUUGCUCUCCUCCAUAGCUGGGGUUUCUUCAACUUUCAAGGUUCAUAGUAAGUGAUUCCAAGCCCCGUUUUAAUAAUCUUUACGUUUUUGGAGUCCCGGUAACUUGAUUAAGCUUAUUCUAGCAAUAAUUCAACCUAGGGUUCAUAUUUGGAAAAUACCCAUGGCUGAAAUUUGUGUAUUUUGGUGUUUUAUGAUAGAAUAUGAGGUUUUAAAUUAUGUUAAACAACUUAUGCUACUCGGUUUUAAGUGAAAACGAGUAAAAUAGCUUAAAUUGGAAAAAAAUACCAAUAGUCAUAAGUAUAUGUUAGAGUGUGAUUUUGAUAUUUCCAUAGAAGGAAAAAAUGAUCAGCAUGCCAUAAAACAUAAGAAAAUAGGAUGAAGUUUAAUUUACGAGCCUUGGGGCAAAAGUGCAAAUAUGUGAAAGUUUAGGGGUAAAAAUAUAAUUUUGCAAAAGUUGGGUCAAGGACUGUUUUAAUAAAUGUGAAUAUUAAAUAAGUUAAAUUUGCUAUUAUAGAUCAAGAAGAACGAAAUUCGGGAGUAGAUCGGGGAAAAGAAAAAGUAAAGGACUAAAUUGUAAAGUUUAGUCACAUUUUGUAUCAAGGUAAGUUACAGUAAAUAAAUGCUAUAUUCUUUUAUUUUACAUUAUUAUUGUCAAUUUCCAGCAUUUAUAUAUUAUGUUAUGAAAAUAUUUAAAGUCGAAUUUAAGGUGAAGUGACAGAGGAAAAGUGUUAGAAAGCCCUGGUUGAACCCUAGGAAUGUUAGGAUAUUAGGGUUGACAGGACAGAACAGAAAUGAGCCAUGUAAGUCCAUAUUAGAAAUAUGGCUUUGGAGACAGGAUUGAGCCAUGUAAGUCCAUAUUAUAUAUGGCAUUGGAGACAGGAAUAAUUCAUGUAAGUCCAUGUCAAAUAUAUGGCUAAUCCAUGUCAAAGAUAUGGCAUUGGCAGGAUAUUGAUAGACAGGAACAACCCUAGUAUCCUUAGUAUUCCGAGUGGUUCAACGGGUCAGGAUACGAGUUAAAUUACAGUGAAUUAACAGCAAAGGAAAAGUAGAUUAUACUUAUGAAAAAGGAAAGGUCAGGUAAGAAAGAAGGUAAGGGAAUAAAGAAGAAGAUAGAAAUUGAGAAGUAAAGAAAUUUAUGAUGUUAGAUGAUAUUAUGCAUAAUUAUCCAUUAUGUUGAAUGUUGUGAUUUAUUUGCUUGUAAGCUUACUAAGCCUAGUGCUUAAUCUCUUUAUUUUCUUCUUCUUAUAGUACUUAUCUAGUCACUCGGGGAUCGAAGGAAACGUCAGAGGCCGAUCACACUAUCAAAGAAAUAACUCGGUAUAACUAGACGUUUUGUUUUGGGAAUGGCAUGUAUAGAAACUUAGCUACUUUUGGUAUAAUAUGAACAAUGAAUGAUGUGUAAAUACUUGCUAGUGAUUAGCUAAUAAAAUAGCCG